rnacentral:tRNA from 1 species
AAAAGGUUAGUUUAAUAAAAACACUUGAUUUCGGCUCAAAAGCUUAUGGUUAAAAUCCCUAACCUCUUA